rnacentral:rRNA from 1 species
GAUGAACGCUGGCGGCGUGCCUAAUACAUGCAAGUCGAGCGAACGGACGAGAAGCUUGCUUCUCUGAUGUUAGCGGCGGACGGGUGAGUAACACGUGGAUAACCUACCUAUAAGACUGGGAUAACUUCGGGAAACCGGAGCUAAUACCGGAUGAUAUUUUGAACCGCAUGGUUCAAAAGUGAAAGACGGUCUUGCUGUCACUUAUAGAUUGAUCCGCGCUGCAUUAGCUAGUUGGUAAGGUAACGGCUUACCAAGGCAACGAUGCAUAGCCGACCUGAGAGGGUGAUCGGCCACACUGGAACUGAGACACGGUCCAGACUCCUACGGGAGGCAGCAGUAGGGAAUCUUCCGCAAUGGGCGAAAGCCUGACGGAGCAACGCCGCGUGAGUGAUGAAGGUCUUCGGAUCGUAAAACUCUGUUAUUAGGGAAGAACAUAUGUGUAAGUAACUGUGCACAUCUUGACGGUACCUAAUCAGAAAGCCACGGCUAACUACGUG